rnacentral:tRNA from 4 species
GCGGAAUAGCUCAGUUGGUAGAGCACGACCUUGCCAAGGUCGGGGUCGCGAGUUCGAGUCUCGUUUCCCGCUCCA